GAGAGCAGAGUGUUCGAGGCUGAACCUGGCGGCUCCAGCCUUGCUGCAGAGGGUCCAGGGCCGGGGCAUCUGCCGAAGGUAGGACAGGCACGCCGCCCCUCACAGAGCCGCUGACGUGUUUCCUGAGUGCUUGCUUGCGCGUGGCCUGUGCAGCGUGCUGGGACACAGGCUCUCAAGCCCAAGGGGAAGGCAGGAGACAGUGUCACCUGGGGACGGAUAAAGUGUCAUGGCAGUGGUGCGGUGCCACCACGGGGACACACGAGGACCUGACCCUGCGGUUCCAUCUGUUCCUGGCUGACUUAAUGAAGACCUUCCUUUUCAGUCUGGGUUUAUCUGAAGAAGGAAAUGGGGAAAACGAGCCGACUUUAAAUAGUUGCUGUGUGGUCACUUCACUGUAUGUAGCUCCAAUCCUUGUGGCCCUCGUGACCAGCCUUAACAGCAAACAGCCAGGUGGACCAGUGCUGGCGGUCAGGGAGGUGGAGGGCCAGAUGACCCUGAUGCCAGGUCCAGUUUUCUAAAGGUCAAGGAUCCUGAUAAACAGGGUCCUUGGAGGAAUGGCUGGUUCUAGAGUUGGGUCAGGAAGGUGCAAGGUGACCAAAGUUUGGCCAUGUCAUAGGACACAGGGGCCUCCAAGCCUGUGACACAGCCUGUAGCCCAAAGAAUCAAAUAAACAUAUCCCUUCUACAUAAAUCAUUGAAGACACAAAUAACAUGCAGAUGAUCUAACACCGCGCACAGAGCGCCCCCCACACUGCCUCCGUGGCCCAAGGGCCAGACUCGGAGCCUGGCUCCAGUUCAUGGUGGGGCCCCGGCAGGUGCAGCCUCACCCAGGAGCGGAGGUUUGCCCUGCUGGCCAGCUGAGGUCUCGGCACACCCAGCACCCCUAAUGAAGUCCUGGGAAAAACCAGGCACCCUGAGGCUGGGGACAAAUAAAGCUGCUGGCAUUGAGCUGAGAGGCUUAGCUAGUGCAUCCUUAGCUCCUGGAGGAGAAAGGACCUUCAUGGAAACUGGUGAAGUCCCCAGGAAGCCCGAGUGUAGUUCAUGGAGAUGAACCAUGGCAGUUUGUUAUUCCGACCCACAACAGGGCCCUUAGGCAGGGGAACUGGGGAUGGGGUACGCGAGAACUCUACUGUCUCUGAAGCUCUUCUGUAAGUCCAAAGUUAUUUCCAAAUAAAAAGUGAACUUAAAAAAC